AGCGAACGCUGGCGGCAGGCCUAACACAUGCAAGUCGAACGAAGCCUUCGGGCUUAGUGGCGGACGGGUGAGUAACACGUGGGAACGUACCUUUUGGUUCGGAAUAACGCAGAGAAAUUUGCGCUAAUACCGAAUGAGCCCUUCGGGGGAAAGAUUUAUCGCCGAAAGAUCGGCCCGCGUUGGAUUAGGUAGUUGGUGUGGUAAAGGCGCACCAAGCCUACGAUCCAUAGCUGGUCUGAGAGGAUGAUCAGCCACACUGGGACUGAGACACGGCCCAGACUCCUACGGGAGGCAGCAGUGGGGAAUCUUGCGCAAUGGGCGAAAGCCUGACGCAGCCAUGCCGCGUGAGUGAUGAAGGCCUUCGGGUUGUAAAGCUCUUUAGCCGACGAAUAUAAUGACUGUAGUCGGAGAAUAAGCCCCGGCUAACUUCGUGCCAGCCGCCGCAGUAACAC
rnacentral:rRNA from 1 species